rnacentral:rRNA from 1 species
GACGAACGCUUGCGGCGUGCUUAACACAUGCAAGUCGAACGGAAAGGCCCUGCUUUUGUGGGGUGCUCGAGUGGCGAACGGGUGAGUAACACGUGAGUAACCUGCCCUUGACUUUGGGAUAACUUCAGGAAACUGGGGCUAAUACCGGAUAGGAGCUCCUGCUGCAUGGUGGGGGUUGGAAAGUUUCGGCGGUUGGGGAUGGACUCGCGGCUUAUCAGCUUGUUGGUGGGGUAGUGGCUUACCAAGGCUUUGACGGGUAGCCGGCCUGAGAGGGUGACCGGCCACAUUGGGACUGAGAUACGGCCCAGACUCCUACGGGAGGCAGCAGUGGGGAAUAUUGCACAAUGGGCGGAAGCCUGAUGCAGCAACGCCGCGUGCGGGAUGACGGCCUUCGGGUUGUAAACCGCUUUCGCCUGUGACGAAGCGUGAGUGACGGUAAUGGGUAAAGAAGCACCGGCUAACUACGUGCCAGCAGCCGCGGUGAUACGUAGGGUGCGAGCGUUGUCCGGAUUUAUUGGGCGUAAAGGGCUCGUAGGUGGUUGAUCGCGUCGGAAGUGUAAUCUUGGGGCUUAACCCUGAGCGUGCUUUCGAUACGGGUUGACUUGAGGAAGGUAGGGGAGAAUGGAAUUCCUGGUGGAGCGGUGGAAUGCGCAGAUAUCAGGAGGAACACCAGUGGCGAAGGCGGUUCUCUGGGCCUUUCCUGACGCUGAGGAGCGAAAGCGUGGGGAGCGAACAGGCUUAGAUACCCUGGUAGUCCACGCUGUAAACGGUGGGUACUAGGUGUGGGGUCCAUUCCACGGGUUCCGUGCCGUAGCUAACGCUUUAAGUACCCCGCCUGGGGAGUACGGCCGCAAGGCUAAAACUCAAAGGAAUUGACGGGGCCCCGCACAAGCGGCGGAGCAUGCGGAUUAAUUCGAUGCAACGCGUAGAACCUUACCUGGGUUUGACAUGGAUCGGGAGUGCUCAGAGAUGGGUGUGCCUCUUUUGGGGUCGGUUCACAGGUGGUGCAUGCCUGUCGUCAGCUCGUGUCGUGAGAUGUUGGGUUAAGUCCCGCAACGAGCGCAACCCUUGUUCACUGUUGCCAGCACGUUAUGGUGGGGACUCAGUGGAGACCGCCGGGGUCAACUCGGAGGAAGGUGGGGAUGACGUCAAGUCCCCAUGCCCCUUAUGUCCAGGGCUUCACGCAUGCUACAAUGGCUGGUACAGAGAGUGGCGAGCCUGUGAGGGUGAGCGAAUCUCGGAAAGCCGGUCUCAGUUCGGAUUGGGGUCUGCAACUCGACCUCAUGAAGUCGGAGUCGCUAGUAAUCGCAGAUCAGCAACGCUGCGGUGAAUACGUUCCCGGGGCU